CUGUUCAACGGCCGCGGUAUCCUAACCGUGCGAAGGUAGCGUAAUCACUUGUUCUUUAAAUGUGGACUAGUAUGAAUGGCAUCACGAAGGUUAUACUGUCUCCUUUUUCUAAUCAGUGAAACUAAUCUCCCCGUGAAGAAGCGAGGAUAAAACUAUAAGACGAGAAGACCCUAUGGAGCUUUAAACAUUUAUAACACUUGCUAAAUAAAAUACAAAUUUCAGAAUUAUUUACUCUUUAAGCAACUUGUCUAUAAGUUUUUGGUUGGGGUGACCGCGGAGCAUAAUACAACCUCCAUGUUGAAAGAUCUAUUUCUAAGCUAAGAGCUACACCUCUAAGCAUCAACAUAUUGACAUCCAUUGACCCAAUAUAUUUGAACAACGAACCAAGUUACCCUAGGGAUAACAGCGCAAUCCACUUCAAGAGCUCCUAUCGACAAGUGGGUUUACGACCUCGAUGUUGGAUCAGGGUUUCCCAGUGGUGCAGCCGCUACUAAAGGUUCGUUUGUUCAACGAUUAAAACCCUACGUGAUCUG
rnacentral:rRNA from 1 species